UUCAGGUUUACACACCAGCAUUACGAGGCCAUUCGGUUUAUGAGACCAAUUUUGAUGGUCUCGUAAUUCGGGGAAUUUAAAUUGUUAUAAUUAUUGAAUAAUAAUAAUUUAAAGCAUUAUUAAUAGAUGUAUGAUUACUACAUUACUAGUUUUAUUAAUUCACAUUGCUAUUUGAAUGUGAUAAACAUCCCCACGCUUUUUAUGACCUUUACAAAUAUGGACCUUUUAAACCAUGAUGUGUAUGUGUGAACUUUGAACAGUGCCCCUGUAGGUGGGAAUUGGUAUUGCAAGGUACACACAUUCGCGCCAAAUAACACACAUUUCCCCGCUAAAUCAUACACAUUUCCCCGCCAUAUCGUACAAUUGGCCGUAAACGUCGGCUGUUUCGAGAAGAUUCGCCGCGUUUGGAGAAGUGAUUAACAUCGGAGCUGCAACAGUUCUUCAGCAUCAUGGAAUUUACCGAAAACUGAAAAGGGACUAAAUCCUCUCAGAGAUACAGAACAGCACGUGAAGUUGGACAAAGAUUAAGACAUACAUGGAUAUAUAUAUAUAUCAAUCACACCAAAGGGCGAGGUGUAUUUGCAAAAGGCUUUAUGUUGAAAGGUUCAUUCAUUCUUGAAUCCAGAGGAAUCUUGUAUAAGCAUUGAUGCUUCAAGCGUUGACAGAUCACUUGGGAGACUAGUGAAUGAUGAGCAGAAACCCAAUGCAAAGAUGAAAAAGAAGUGGAUGGUAUGCCCCAUCUUUUGGCCAUUAUGGAUGGAAGGGAAUUUCGAGAGAUUACUUAUGACUAUGGAGGUGUUGACUUGCCAUGACAUUCCUGCCAUGGACAGGAAAUGCCCAAGCCCAUGGCUCCAGCUACAGUCCAGGACCAAGUCAUCUCUCCCGCUGCCCCUCCUGAAGAGUGGAUAACAGAGGUAAAUGCACAUCUGCAAGAACACCAUGGAUGAAAGCUGAGGUCAACGCUGUGAUGUGACGCUUCAAUCUCAUAUCAUGAAGGGUCACUUGGCAUCUAGAGGGAAUGUGAGG